CUGCAAGAUAACACGGCCUACUUUGUUGUCAAGCAAUACUUCGUUAAUCCGGAUGACACUGUCUGUCAGAAGAUUGUUGUUCACAAGGAUGGCCCAAGAGGAAACCACUUCCGUCGUGCUGGACCUCGCUAAAGGGU